rnacentral:rRNA from 1 species
AUUGAACGCUGGCGGCAUGCCUUACACAUGCAAGUCGAACGGCAGCACGGGAGCAAUCCUGGUGGCGAGUGGCGAACGGGUGAGUAAUGUAUCGGAACGUACCUUUCAGUGGGGGAUAACGUAGCGAAAGUUAACGCUAAUACCGCAUAUUCUGUGAGCAGGAAAGCAGGGGAGUCGCAAGACCUUGCGCUGAUUGAGCGGCCGAUAUCAGAUUAGCUAGUUGGUGAGGUAAAGGCUCACCAAGGCGACGAUCUGUAGCGGGUCUGAGGGGAUGAUCCGCCACACUGGAACUGAGACACGGUCCAGACUCCUACGGGAGGCAGCAGUGGGGAAUUUUGGACAAUGGGCGCAAGCCUGAUCCAGCCAUGCCGCGUGAGUGAAGAAGGCC